CGACAGACGCUCCGAGAUGCCGAAGGGCCAGCAGCGGCCCCGAAGCUCCGGGCUGGCCGCGCUGUCGCUCUGCCGCGCCCCGGUCUCGAAGUGAAGGUGCCUCUUCCUGGCUAGCCCACCUACAUGCUGUCAUCACUGGGCUUCUGCAACUCUCAGUCUUUGUGGCUGCACCCUUCCCUUCUGAAUCCUGAGGACCCAUGAGUGUCAGGCCCAUCAUGAAAUUGGUCGUCUUACUGGGUACGUAGGUCAUGCAGGAACGGGUCCUUGCAAGAGGACUACCAAGCGACUGAAUAGGUUUUAAUCUGGAUUGGGGCCUAGGAGUUAUUCACAGGUGUUUUGAACCUUCAGCACAGGAGUAUGUAUAAUGGUGUUUCCUUAAGCCCUGUAAUGGAAUCCUUUUGUGUGUUUACUGAAAGUUAUUCUGAGUAGAACUGUCAGGGUGUGUGCGGUAGGAACCAAAACCAUAGGUGUGAACCAGACUGAGAAGAUGGGCCCUCAGAGCCCCCUCUGUGCAAUUCUGUAUGGCUUGGGCUAUGGGCAAAGGGAAGACAAUCAGGCUGGCAGGCUCAGGACCAACUGAAGACCGGCCUAAGCCGGUGGUUCUCAACAUGUGGGUCGCGCCCCCGGGGGGUUUGUCAAAGGACCCUCGGAAGACACAGAUAUUUACAUUAUGAUUCACAACAGUUGCAAAAUUACAGUUAUGAAGUAGCAAUGAAGGUGAUUUUAUGGGUUGGGGGUGUGUGGGGGUGGGUCACCACAGCAUGAGGAACUGUGUUAGAGAGUUUCAGCAUUAGAAAGGCUGAGAACCGCUGGGCUAAGUGCUUGGCAAGACUUGGGGUGUAGGCUGAGGGUCCCAGGAAGAGGCAGGAAAGAAGAGCUUGGGACAGCUUGGAGAAGGUUUAUGCCUACGGAGAGAUCCUUUCUUGUUCCUUUUAAAAGAUGAAACCCAAAGUUGUCCCAUGAAGGACUCCUGAAAACCCCUUUCAAGCCUCGGCCACAGAUGAUCUGCGGAAUGCUCAUUAAGGGGGAAACAAAGAGGUGGUUUUGUUUAUUUAUUUAAGGGGAAAAAAUAAAUGAGCUGUGACAAAACAAUUUGAAACCAGGCCCUCUGAGACCUGGGCUUUCACUUCCUUGAUGGGAAGUGAAACAGAGAAUGAAUCCCCCUCCAAAUAAAAGUGAAGUUAAUAAUCAGACAA
rnacentral:lncRNA from 1 species